CACUUUCAAAUGUAUUCAAAACAAUGAUCGAAUACUCAAAUGACAUGAAGAUUCAACCUGGACAACAUUUUACAUGAUCAUGAAAUUAAAGUUAUACUUCUUUUAAGUCAGUAUAGUAUCAGUCUACUUCUUAUGUAUUUCUCAGAAAUAAACUUCAAAAAGAGACACUCACUUGUGCUGACAGAAAAGUCUAGGAAAUAUGUUUGUACUCAUGUCUUCUGAUGGAGAUUUGCUGGACAAGUUUGAAAUUGAACAAACGGGAGUGAGAAAACGGCGCCAUCUUCGUUUCAUCCAGAAAACGGAAUAACAAGAAUUCGGCUUGAUUUUUCGUUUUAACUUCAGGGGUAAAUAACGAAUACACAGCUUGAAAAAUCGAUUUCCACGGGUGAGCGGUAUGAAACGCCCCCUUACAUUGACUGGCCAACCAAAGAUCAGCAAGCGAGGGAGCGACGUCUUGGGUUGUCCCUCAGUGAAUGAACAGAAUAAAUAGUCCUCCGCUGCUGUACAGUGGGGAUCCUUAAAGUAUGUUUCAUUUCUCUCAUUAAACAACCGUCCACAAACCGUACAGGGCAGGUUCUAGACUGGACUUUCCUCAUGCAACCUGGGAAUAAACAGAAAACGAUUGAAAAACAUCACUGACAGUUAUAAUCUUAAAUCCAUCCACAUUCAAACUGGCCCAGGUCACGCCCCUACUUAAGAAACCCACAUUGGGACCCAUCUACUACCGACGGUUACAGACCUGUCUCUCUCCUCCCUUUUAUUGCAAAAACACUUGAAAGGGCAGUUUUCAACCAGGUGUCUUCCUACCUUUCCCAGAAUAAACUACUGGAUGACAAGCAGUCUGGCUUCAAAACAAACCGCUCCACUCAGACUCCACUGCUAUCGGUCACCGAAGCAUUGCGGCUAGCCAAGGCGGAAUCUAAAUCCUCUGUCCUGAUUCUGUUAGACCUAUCUGCAGCGUUUGACACUGUCAAUCACCAGAUACAGCAACCCUGUCAUCUCUAGGAAUCUCAGGCGUUCCUCUCCGCUGGUUCAAAUCCUACCUCUCCGGCAGAUCCUUCAGGGUGUCAUGGAGGGGCUCGCUGUCCACUGCUCACCACAUGAUCACUGUGAUCCCUCAGGGAUCGGUGCUUGGACCGCUGCUUUUUUACAUCUACACAACAUCCUUGGGACCCAUCGUACAGGCACACGGCUUCUCGUAUCACUGUUAUGCUGACGACACCUACGAGAUCUACAGCUCGUUUCACCCAGACGAUAUCACUGUAGGUAAAAACUAACCCUCUCUCUUUCUCUCAACAGAUAUUGGUCUGGCUUUUGUUGAAACUAGUAACUUUGUAUUAGUACCUGUUGUAUUAUUGCUCCUGUAUGACAUAUCGCUUAUUGCUCCCUGAACUCUCUGUAAGUCGCUUUGGAUAAAAGCGUCUGCUAAAUGACUAAAUGUAAAUGUAUAAUGAUUGAAGCUGACUGCAUGUACGUACCGUUAUCAUGAACGAGUCUGACUGAACGUAUCUGCACUCUGUUGUUUUUCGCACGGUGACCGGUGACUCAUCUAACUUCUGAUUGAUUGGUCAACAGGAGCUGUGAGUAAAACACAGAAAAAAAUGACCGUGAUCUGACGUGAACAUAAUGUUGCAACUUACAAGUUUCGUUCAUCUUCCCAUUUAAUUUGCCUCAUCCAUGAACUAUAAUGAACUGAAGCGGGACACACUGUCCCUUAACUUCUCAGUGUCAGAUAGGUGUGGUGUGUGAACUGGUUGAAAUGCGUGUGUCUCACAGUGGAUGCAUGCGUGAGAGCCCUGCUCGCGAGCCGUAUGUUCCUGAUCACUAAUUUAUACAUUUGUCUGACUUUUGAAAAUAACCAUGUUAUUAGGCUACGUAUCAAACCUUGAAGAGGUUUUUAAAGACCAUACCACCACGAUUUAGCGGACCUAUACACAGUUAAAAUAAUCUGAAACAUGUGUUAUGCUUUUACUAAAAACUAGCUGGUCAAUUUAAUAAAAACGCUCUGAUAGCCCAGGCAGUUUCUCUGCUGUAACGUUAAAUACAAUAAUACGGCGCACGCCCUCUACUUUGCUGCAGUCAAAAACGCUUGCAAAAGUUAUUCAACUGUAGCCCAGUUCUGACAUAUAGACAAUCAUAGGAACAAUUUCGAUUGCUUUUUUAAUAUAUAUAAUCAGCCAGUGCAAAGCGUGAACCACGUUUAUAGGACCGGAGUUGGCAAGUACCGCUCACUACAAACUUUUGAACAAUUAAAAGUGUGCGCCCAACGUGGGGCUCGAACCCACGACCCUGAGAUUAAGAGUCUCAUGCUCUACCGACUGAGCUAGCCGGGCUUGCAACGCAUACUUUUUGCAUCACGCACAUUAACUCUCUGGAUGGGUUAAAUGCAGAGGUCACAUUUCGGGUAUGGGUUACCAUAUCUGACACUUUCACUUAAUCACUAACGUUACUUCACGACAAGGCAGCAGUAAACUGAAUACACGACGUGCGCUGCGGGCUACAGCGGCAUCUAUUGGAUUUUAUCUGUACUGCAUUUUGUAUAAGUCAUUUGGACAGUCACUUGUAAUUUUGUCACUUUAAUAUUCCUAUACACCUAACUUGUGUUUCAACAUUAUGUGUUGUAAAUUCUUUAUAGUGUAUAGUUCUACAAUACUAUGAGCAUGGUCAUAAGAAUUCCAAUGUCCAGUGUUAAUUGUGCAAAUAACAAAUAAAGGACUCUUGACAUUUUAAUGAACAGAAAUCCUAGUUUGUUGUCUCCCAAAAACCAUCUGCUUUUUUUGUCACAUCAAUAGGACAUGUUUAUUUCCCUUUCUUAAAAUAUUUUUUUUUUCUGAUAAUGAAUCAGUUUAUUGGUAACACAUUCUCAGAGUGUUUUUGUGUCACAUCCAUAACGCAAAACGUCACUUCCACAAUGCUGGAAUUGCCCAAUACAUUCAACUUAAUCGCAGGCCAAAUUAAAGUGCCUGGCUGGCCAUAUGGCCCUCGUGUCGAAAUCAUCUUAUGAAACAGUAACAUAUUGAUGAUGAUACUACAUUACUUGAAAACAGAAUCUUACGCACGUACACUUUUUUUGGUUGAUUAUAGCGCAGGGCCCAACGUGGGGUUCGAACCCACGACCCUGAGAUUAGAAGUCUCAUGCUCCUCCGACUGAUGGCCGGCUGCACGCGACAUUUUUGCAAUUCCUCAGUGCUGCACACAGGCAUAGUUUGUUUAGUUGCGCCUUAUAAAAAAGUGUCAAAUCCAUAACGCUGGAGUUGUUGGUUAACAUUGACCAAGUUUAAUAAAUGCUGUAGAAGUAUUGCUAGUUCACUCAUGGUAACUAAUAUUAACUAUUUCUAUUUCAUGAAAUGUAAUACGCAUACAUUAAACUAACACCUGCAAGCAAUGCACUUAUCUCAGGAUCAUUUGAGAUGUUUCUAGUGUGCUCGGGAUUCUGUGAUCUUCUCCACCCAGUAGUCCAAACUCUCGGUGGUUUUUCCAGAGGGAAUCCCCGGGAACUUUUUAGGAAAUAUUCGCAUUGAAAAGAAAAUGAAAGUAACAGCGUGUACAGUAUACAGUAUAUAUAGGAGGUGAACACGAGGUUUGAUUUCAUUCUUGAAAGCAUUAUGGGUGUCUUCCAGAGCAUUUUCUUAGCUGAGACAGAGCAGGAGAUCUCUCCGCCUGAAAGCAUCAAUUUAAUCCCUGCCAACAGUCUGACAAGUCAGAGAGAGCCACCAGAGAGUUCAAACCAAGGCA